UACGUAGGGUGCAAGCGUUAAUCGGAAUUACUGGGCGUAAAGCGUGCGCAGGCGGUCUUGCAAGACAGAUGUGAAAUCCCCGGGCUCAACCUGGGAACUGCAUCUGUGACUGCAUCGCUGGAGUGCGGCAGAGGGGGAUGGAAUUCCGCGUGUAGCAGUGAAAUGCGUAGAUAUGCGGAGGAACACCGAUGGCGAAGGCAAUCCCCUGGGCCUGCACUGACGCUCAUGCACGAAAGCGUGGGAAGCAAACAGG
rnacentral:rRNA from 1 species